GCUAUGGUUUUGCCACUGCACUCCAGCCUGGGAGACGAGCUAGACCCUGUCUCAAAACGUAAAAACUUAAAAUACACAGAGAAUCUCAAGGUGGCGUGGACAGUUCUGAGUGUUGGGGAGAGAACAAAAGAAGGAAAGUGCAUUUUGGGUGGCAGAAAGGCCCUCCCAGCACCGUGGGCCCCUGCUUUGAAGCAACCCUCACAGAAGCUGAGCAUGAGUUAUGCUGGGCCCAUGACACUAGUUCCCUGGGUGCACGCAGCCUGAGCCCAGCCCGCCCUGUCUGGAGCUCUCACCACCUGCCUGGCCCGUGCUCAUGGGCUCACGAUGGCUUCAGCUGGAGCUCGUGUCAGCUCGAGCACGGCCUCCCCAGAGGGCUCAUUUGCACUUGGAUGCCCUCACCUGUUCUCCCUCUGUGGCUUCAGGAACCCCGGGGUCAUUACAGAGCUGGCUAAAUUCAUCCCUGGAUGUGAGACCUGUGUUGUAGGCAUCCAGGACUGUCCCAAGAUGGGAGAGGCAUCCAGUCAUGUUAAUUGAAGUGAAGACUUCUAUUUACUUCCAGAUACACAUUCUUAACCUUCCUAGGGCCCCAUUUUGACCUUUCUUCCACAACGCAUUUUACCUACCACUAAUAGCCCCAGUGCAGACCCCAAAGUUCCCCUGUAGGAUUCAUUUCCAGUGAUUUGAGCCCAGCCUGAGGCAGAGCUUUCUGCUGAGUUGAUCCUUACUCAGACUCAAACUGCAGAGGGCCAGGAGGAGCCCUGUUUUUUGCAAUCAAUACCACCUGGGGUAGGACCCAAACGUGACAUCCUUUGUGUGUGGAUCUGGCCUUGGCCUCCGCACUGUCUGUUCAGCAGGUCCCUCCUUUGCCUGCCAAGGCUGAGGUCCUGUACUUUGCAAAGGUCCAGGCCGUUUGGUGCAGCUACAAUCAGCAUGCGUGGUUUUCUCUAUGAAAGCAACAGCGAUCUCGUGGGGAAGGCCCUGGCAGAAAGUGCAUCAUGCAGGACACGGCGCAGGCGCUCCAAAGACGCCUCCUGCUCACUUCUGGCCUCCACCCCAUGCCCUGCAGGAUGACAGGUGGCUGUGCCUAUACAUAAAACACCAGACGUGACCAAUGACUAUCUUAUAAUAAAUAUACUUGAACUUCUCAACUAGAACACAGAAAUGCUUUCGGGAAGUACAACGCGUACCACCAUGUGUGGUCCUGUGCGCAGCGGCGGGAGCCUCUGCCCCGGGAGCCAGCGUGGUGUGGGGGAGAGACCCCGAGUCUCCAGAACCCAACGGAACGUGGGUCUGCAGUGACGACGCAAAAACCGAAGACGAGCAAUAAAAUAAUAAUCCAAACAGGAAAGAGACAAUGUGAAGAAAGCUGCCUUUGUUCUAGGAAAAGUCUUUUUUUCCUUUUCACAGUAUAGUGACUCAUUUAUAAAGAGGAAGUGAGUUCGGUUGAAAAAUACUUGAAAUAUUCUCUUAGGGGGAGAAAGCAGUUCUUCACCAGCUUGGUGGGCCACUUGGCCGCGAGCUUCGAGCUCUGCCUGUUCUGAGUCAGCAGGGACAAUUCUUCUUCCGAAACCAGAACCCGCUGCCUGCUGCUGAGAGGAGGGAGGGAAGGCUGUGGGCAAGUGCAGCACCCACCAGGCGGGCCGGAGAUGGGGCUGGGAAGGAAUCGCUUCGAGGGGGUGAGGGGAACAGCCUGCCUCUCAGUUGUCCCAGGCGCCUAAGAUGCCCUGGAACCCCCACCCGAUUCUGGGAGUUUUUCUCACGGAGGUGUACUGAGCAGCAGGAGACCAGACAACUCCCCUACCUCCACCUCCCCCCGGCAGGGGGCUGGUCCCCUGGGAAGCAGGCUGGGGGUGACUCUGUGUGAACAGCGAGCUCCAGGGCCAUCGCUAGAGGAUGUCACCAUCCUGGGCAGCACCCCCGCAGAGGAAAGGACAGGACUCCAGGCAAAAGUUAGCCAAACCCUUGCAGAGUCAGCAACCACUCCCAGGGAAUUGUAUCACAAAGGCUGUCCCCUGGGCUCCUGGGGCUGCCUGUGCUGGAAGCCUGAGCCCUGAGCGCAGGAGGGCAGGUGGGGAGAGGAAAAGGUCCCCUGCCAGCCUACGGUGUGAGGAGCCCUUGGGGAAGAUGGGCUUUGCAGACUUGGCACCGACACCCCCUCUCGUACUCCCAGCCACCCCCCUGGAGGCCAGGAACAUUUCUCAGUUUCUUUCAGGGUGAAGGCUGCGAGUGAAGUGCCAGAUACAGUGUCCCCCUCCUCCUCGGGCACCCUCCCUAGGGCAGUGGGGACUGUCCUUAACCAUUCUGGGGGUGACGGUGGCCACCUCUGCAAAAUGAUUUCUCUUUCAGUGAGUGGGUGUCUCACGUCACUGUUGAGACACCCGAGACCCUCGGAGGGAAACCUGUGGGAAGGAGCUGCCAGCCUCCUUCUAGGAACCAGGUGACCCCAAGAUCACGGCUUAGGUGCAUCCAACCCUGGAAACCCUGUGAGGAGCUCUGUGGGGCCUCGCUCAGAAAGGGGGCCUGGGAAGAAGCAGCUGCCAGCCCAUGGCCCAAGCCUACAGGGGCCACAGGUGUGGCCACUGGAGUGGAGGGAGGUGCCUUUGGUGGAGGAGCCUUGCAACCCUGGGUCUGGCUGCACCUGCCACAUAAGAACCCUGCUGGGGUGCUGUUCUCUCACUGCUGCGUGGAUGCAUGGAGCCUCCGGGAACAGGCAGCAGGGGAGGCCAGGCCAGCAGGACCUGUGGGCGCCACGCCUUGGCAGGUGCCAAGCAACAGGAUCGUGCCAUGGCAGUGACAUGGGAGAAUGCAGGAACCUGAGAGGUGAGAGGGAAUAAGUUUCCAGAACUCACUCUCAGGCAGGAGACAUGACUCAGCUGAGCCAGAAAGCGCUCGUUCCACACGAAUGCACGUAUGAGCAAGGCAUGCCAGUACCAGAUUGUCCACGAACAUCCAGAAGAAGGGUCUGGGGCUGCCUGACCCGGGCCGCACGUACUGCAGGAGCCGGUGGAACUGGAACAGCAGCAAUGGAGCCCUGCCCAGUGCCGGGGCCACAGAGGUGCGAGGACCCCUCCUCCCCCAGGCAGGCCCAGAGUUGGGAAGAGACAGACAGGCAACCCCGAGGGAGGCACGGACGCAGAGCGCGUGCCGUGGCACAAAUACCGCCUUUUAGAGGAAGCUCCAGAGGAUACGUGAGCUGCAGUGACGUGGGCACGCUAGGGACUGCACGGGGUCAGCAGGAGGCUUGGGGGGCACAGGGAAGCCUAAGUGACGGGGACACUUUGUUGCUCAUGAUGAGGCGUGCAUGGGUGUGGAGCUAGCUCAGUGCCUCCUCCUUUAUUGAGGCACCACUGACACACAGUAAGUUGCACACAUUCAGUUGGACACACUGUGUGUCAGUGGAGCCUCAAUAAAGCUGCUUUUGAAAAAUGCUGACAAUUUGCAGUUUCUGCCCUGGCAUGGAGGGGUGGGGAAAGAGGAGAGGAGACGGGGUGGUGGGGACAGGGUGUCAGGACUGAAGCGUCACUCACUGGGAGGAUGGUCGCAGGUGUGGCCCAGGGGAGGUGUGGCGCCGUACAGGAGAUCAAAGGGCCCCCACUCCUCCACCUGCAGGACAGACAGGCAUGGGCACCGAGAGGCAGCAGCAGUGGGCAAGGUCGCGUACGGUAGCACGAGAUGUCCUCAGGGCCGACCCUGCUCAGCUCGCAGGGCUCACAGGCCAGGGCAAGCUGAGAUGUGGAGCCCACUAGGGCAGAGCCAUCCCCAGCCACCACCAGCCUCAGGGGCUGCCUGCCUGGAGCCCAGAGGAGAACGCUCCGAAUCUGAGGUGAAGACUCUGUGCCACGCGUUUGGGGACUGAACUCUGCCUUUAUCUUUUCUUGCUCAAAUUCCUUUCUAAGGAGCGUGGGGGGAAUCACAGCUUACAAACCACAAAAGCUUGUGGAAUGGGUGUUUUUGAGCCGGUGUAUUAUGGCUGUGCCAUGGCGUCACAUGACAGACAGCAGACCUUAUUUUAACUCAAGCAUUCCUUUCUACUGACUCCGAGUUUUCAGGCAAAGCUUAACUCUUUCAUCCAACUGCCAACUAAAGAAUCCCUAAUGUAAGCUUCAAGAUAGCCCGCCUUUUGGGGCUGAACCAAUGCACACCUAUGUAUUGAUUGAUUGAUUGAUUGAAUUUUUUGAGAUGGGGUCUCACUCUGUCACCCAGGCUGUAGUGCAAUGGUGAGAUCUCGGCUCACUGCAACCUCCACCUCCUGGGCUCAAAGUGCUGGGAUUACAGGCGUGAGCCACCGUGCCUGGCCCGUGUACUGAUUUCUGAUUCUACCUGCAGUUCCCAUCUCCCUGAAAUGUAUAAAACCAAAACUGUUACUGACCGCCUUGGGUGCACUUCCUCGGGACCUCUUAAGACUGUGUUUCCCAGGCCAUGGUCACUCUUACUGGCUCAGAAUAAACCUAUUUAAAUACUUUGGCAGAA